GCCUGCACGUGUCCCUGUGUGUGUCCCUACGUGACCCCCCACGUCGCAGUCAAGAUGUGUUCAGUUGUAAGGGGGGUGGAGGUCAGGCGAGGCUGUCUCCUGUGGAGUCUGCCCCUGCAGACCCCCUGAAGAGCAGAGCCGGUCCUGUCUGCCCUUCAGCUCCCUGGUGGUGGGGGGCGCUGUAUCUCAUUGACAGGGAUCUGGGGGUCAGCGCUCAUUGACGCCAUGCCACCAGCUCAGGCAGGACGGGGUUCCUCAGGCAGGAGACUACAGCCCGGCAGUGGGGAGGAAGACCUCCGUGCUCAGAGGCCUGCGUGGGCGCCCGGCCUCCGAGGAUGGCGUGAGAGCUUGUUCUGGUGCUGGAAGUUCCCUAACAGACGGAGGCUUUGCGGAUGAGCCGGGCCAUUUCACAAUCCUCCUCCCGGUCAGCCCUGUCACGGCAGCACACGUGAGCGGAUCCCGAGAGCCAGUCGGGCUCUGGCUCCCAUGUGCCAGGACAGCUAUUCCGGGGCGGCUUCAGUGACCAGCCCGGGGUCACUGUGCUCGGGGGCUCAGCCUCCGCGUCAGGCACUCCCCCGGGCUGGGACGGCCCCCAGCCUGAGCACGGCUUGGGGUGGGCUGGGGAUGCAGCGCUGUGCCCGGCACACAGCCGGAGCUCAAGCAGAGCUGCCCCUCUGGUGGGACGGGGGAGGGUGGGGCAGUGGACACUUGGCUGGCCGCCAGGCUGGCUGAGAGUGGCCCGGAGCUGAGCUACAGGACUGUCAGGGCAGGGUCUCCAAGGCCAGAUGGCCUGGGUCCGAAUCCCGGCUCUGCUCUUCUGCGCCACGGCAGCCUCCAUGGGACGUGUGCCCAGUGCUUCCCUCAGGGCUGCGGAGGAUCCCGCGGUGACACAGAAGAGCACUUGGCUCAACACCUGCCGCACGCCAAGAGCCCGGGAGCUGCCGCCCCACUCCGCCUUUUCAUCCAGUAUUUGUGGAGCGCGAGCGCUGGUUACAACGUGCUCGCAUUUUAACGCCCCGACUUAUUUUAAACAUUCCCUCCUGUGGACCCCGCAGCCCAGCCCAGCAGGGGCCACCGUCUUGCUCACAGCUGGAGCUCAGAGAGACAGUGAGUGACCAGGCCCCGGCCUGCGGCUCAGUGAAGGCCUCGUGGGGUUUCCUUCUUCCUCACCUCCAGCCCGUGGCAGAGCCUGGGGUUCUGCCGCCAGCUCUCCCGCAGCGCGCCCUGCUCCCUCCUGGGCUCCAGGCCCCAGUCCUCCUGGACUUCCCGCGCCCUGGCCUGCCUGCUUCUGCAGGCUGUGGUCUCCCUGGCCUUGGCAGGGUGCUCCGAGUGCCCCAGGACAGCUGUCCCCCGCCCAGGCGCUCCAGGCACUCCUGACCCCACCAGGAAAGGCACUGGGUGGUAGGACUUUCAAGCCCUGUAAUGGGUGUCUGCUGCCCGCUCCAGGGCAGGCCAGCUCUGGUGGCCCUGGACUGGGCCCCGCAGCGCCAGGAGCCGUGGGGGGCCUGGGUGGGGUGAUCCUCCCCGGCUCAGCCUCUGCUCGCGGCUCUGCUGCCCUUCCUCCAACACGGUGUCCGUCCCUCUGCCCUGGUGUCCGCUGCACCCGGUAGUGGCCUGGGCAGCCCCCUGUGCUGGUCAGGAGUGCUGAUGGCAGGAUGCCUCCCACGCUGAAUGGCCGAACCCAAGGAGGCUGGGGACAGGCAGGGAAGCAGCCCGCAGAGCAAGUGGGACUGAGCAGCAGGAGGUCACCCCCACCGUGACCCUCCCCCCUGGCCUUCCACACUCAGGGUCUUGGCUGAGGACCACCCUUCUCUGUGGCCGGAUAAGAGACCACUGACUACAUGCCAGGGUCGUCUGGUGGAGGGGACACAGCCUUGCCUUUCUUUCUAGAAGACCCAGGAAAGGUUCCGACUGGUCCCCGUGGCUUGGGGUCAGUCCUGAACUGGCCGGCCUCCUUCCCAUUCUUGGCCAAUCUCUGCCAAGGAGCGAUGUCGUGUGGGCCAGGUAGUGCCUGCCAGAACCACGGGGUGCAGAGUGGGGCCAGGCCCUUCUCAGGGCUGCAAGGGAGCUGGUCAGACAAAGUGGACACUGACUAUGCAGCCUGUACCCUCCCCCUGUGGCCACAGGUCCCCCUUCCCACUUCAGGGAAGUCUGACCUCCAGCCGGCCUGGCCAGGCUCUUCUACCCUGGCAGGACUUUAGCUGGGUGUGUGGGGGACGGCCCACCACGAUGUGACCUGGCCACUCCCUGGAAGAGCUCUGGGGAUGAGGUGGGCUGGUGUGGGCGUCCUAGGUCCUGCCCCUGGGGACCUGUGGCGAGGAGGUCAAGUCCCGUCUCUUCCCUGACCAUCAUGCAGCAGGGCGGCCCUUCUCCCUCCAGGGGUCCUCAUGGUGCCAGAGUUGGACAACAACUGACCUGAAGGUUCCAAGGAGCAGAGAAAACCGAUCUCGCUCCCUGGAUCAAACCCGGCCCCAGCUGUGGAGUCUCCCCCAGCGCAGAGGACGCCUUUAUCAUCCGGAGAAAAAUGGCUGUCGAUACGCUCCACUUCCUGGUGCGCCGCUGACAGGGCGGGGGCUUGGG